GCGGAGGAAAAGAAACUAACAAGGAUUCCCCUAGUAACUGCGAGUGAAGCGGGAAAAGCUCAAAUUUAAAAUCUGGUGGUCU
rnacentral:rRNA from 1 species